rnacentral:lncRNA from 1 species
GCAAAUCGCCCUUGAAGAAUGCCGCCAUUGGAUAAAGAGGUAAUUGUUGGAGAGCCACCACGACUAUAAAUAAACUAACAACAAACCAUCUUUUCCAUGAAAAAAGCAUAUAUGGACGGGUCAAACGCAACGGUGAAAAGAGAGGUCAGAAGAGACAGCAACGGAAGAAGCCAUGGAUAAACAUGAGAGAGAAAGAAACCCUAAAAAUUCAACAUGCUCCGAUUGCCUCAAUUUCCACAAGAGGCGAUUCGGAUGGAGCGGUCGUCAGUUGAUUCUGGAUGAUGACCGACGGCGAGUAACGGUGAUGCACUGCGGAUGCAGUGGCCUUUCUUGGCCGCAGCAGAAUAACAUAGGUUGAAAGACUUUUAGUAGGGGCUGCCGGCGGCCAUGGCGGCCGGCCGCCAGCAGACAGCGAAGACAAUGACUAAAGAAUCAGAGAACCAGGCUCUGAUACCAUAUGAAAUAGUGAAAGAGAUGAGGGGAAAUCUCCCUUGUGUUAAAUACACACAUAGGGUUUUCUAUUUAUAAUAGAAGAAAUAUGGGCUAAGCCCAAAAUACAAAUAAAAAAUAAUAACAAACUAACUAGAAAAUAAAAAAUAAAUAUAAACUAAAUAUAAUAUCUCUAAUAGUUUGGUUACUACCAAAUUUUGGCCAAUUGAGCAAACAGGCCCUGAAAUGACUUUUAACAUGGUUAUUAUAAAGUCAAAGUUUCUUCGAUGUGACUUUAAUAUAGCUAUUAUGAAAG